rnacentral:lncRNA from 1 species
GUAGGAGGAAGAUUGAAAUAAACAUCCCCAUCAUCUUUAAAACUCCUUUAAUUCACAGAGGUGUGAUGUGCUAACACUGAACCCAGAAGACCUGGGUUCUGGGUCAGCCACUUACUGCUUCUGCGACUUUCAAUAUUGCACUCGACUUUGAGUUUCCUGUCACUACUGUGAAGUUAAUUCACAUCUCCCCUGGCACUCUGGGUGACUUUGAUAAUACAGUGAUACUAUUUAAAAUAGCUGACAGUUUAUAAAGUACCACCAGGAAGCACUGAGGGGUCAUGGAGCAAUUUAGAACUAAACAGCAAGUCCAUAGGCUAGAACUUUAUUUUGACUAAUUGAACACUGCCAUCUGCUGCACAGAUCUGGGAAAUAGGAGGUAUUAGAUUUCCAGGAGGAAGGUGUUUCCUUCAAAAUAACAAAAGUUUGCUUGCUUUAUUUCUUGUCCCUUUGACCUCACUUUCCAAGUGAAAAGACGCAGAAUAUAAAAACAAAAAGGUCAAAAUAGCCUUGCAGAGGCCACUCUGACUUAUAUGAAAGGGUAGAGCUCAACUUUACAGGUCAGGUGGGAUUUGAAUAAGCCUCAUGGUGAAAAGAAGGGAUGGUAUGAGGAGAACUAAUAGUAGGAUCAUAGUUAGCAGCCCUGGGGGAAACACUGGCCUGGAGGCAACCCUGAGCAUGCCCACUUCCUAGCUGGGUGCCGAGGCGAAGUCCCGGCAUGUAUAACAUUGGGAUAAUAAUGGUGGAAACCUCUUAGAUUGUUGGGAGAUUUAGUGAAAUGAGCUAUGUCUUGUUUUUAGGACAGUACCUGUUAGUACUUAACAAAUAUUAGCUGCUGCUUUUGAAACUCAGACUGGGAAGAAAUAAAGGAAGUUGAUUAAAAAUUCACUAGCACCUUUGGAAUAAACUCCACAUUAGCCCCAUUCUCCCAAAUAGAUUUGAAGCAAGGAAGUGAAAGGAGUCAGGUGAUGAGAUUUUUCAACUUCAGCAGAGUGUAAACACAGAUCAACAACAGUAACAACUACCUUUCAAUGAGACUUUAUGCACCAGGUGUGGCUCUGUGUGUUACAUGUGUUAACUCAUUUAAUUUUUAUAUCAACUCCAUGAGGUGGGAACUUUUAGUAUUCUCAUUUUAUAGAUGAGGAAACAGGCACAGAGAGGGGCUAAGUGUAUUCAAGGUCAUGUGGCCAAUGAAUGACAGAACUAGCGUGAUGGUUAAUUGCUACGGCUAAGAGAUGCCCAGGUGGCCAGUUGGAUGUUACUUGUAAGAUCUUUCUGGAAGAGAUUAGCAUUUGAACCAGCAGACUGAAUAAAGAUCAUCCUCACCAAUGUGGGUUGGCAUUAUCGAAUUUCGUGAGAGCUUGAAUAGAACAAAAAGAAGAAAAGCAAAUUUGCUCUCUUCUUGUACUGGGAUAUCCACCUUCUUUGCUUAGUGGCUCCUUUGGUUCUUAGGCUUUUGAACCCAGGCUGAAUCACCACUGGCUUUCCUAGGGCUCCAGGCUGCAGAUGGCAGAUCAUGGGACUUCUUGGUCUCUACAAUUACUAUUAUGCUGAUCCAUUAUAUUGAUGAUAUCAUGAAGAUAUGAGGUAAAAAGGAGAAAACAGUGAAGAAUGGUGGAAGCCUUAAGGUAUAUGUGCACCAGUGGGCAGAAGAAAUCCCUACAGAAUUUCAGCAGCCGGCCAAAAUGAUUUUCUACCAAAUAAAAAAAGGUGACCUUCACUCUUCAAAAUUAUCAAAAGAAGAAUGAGGAACUGUUCCAGAUUAAAGACAUGACAACCAAACAACGUGAUUCUGUACUGGAUCCUUCACUGAGCUGGGGGUAAGGGGAGCUAGAGCAGACAUUGAGACAAUUGAUGGACAUUUGAUUAAAAACUAUGAAUUAGAUAAUAUCAGUAUUAACUUCCCUGGGUUUCCUAAUUGUACUGUGGUUAUAUAAGAGAACAUUCCUAUUCUUCGGUAAAAGGACACCGAGCCAUAAUUCAUUUUCCAAGCUUUCAUUAGGAAUUGAGUUCUCGACCACCUGGAACAUUUUCCCUGGGCAUUUGUGGGUGUUUAUCUUAGAGGAUAUGCUGCUUUUGGUGGGUUUGUGGCUUAGGAAAGAAC